GAUGAACGCUGGCGGUAUGCUUAACACAUGCAAGUCGAACGGAAUCUUCGGAUUGAGUGGCGGACGGGUGAGUAACGCGUGAGAAUCUGGCUCUAGGUCGGGGACAACAUUUGGAAACGACUGCUAAUACCGGAUGUGCCGAGAGGUAAAAGGCUUGCUGCCUAGAGAUGAGCUCGCGUCUGAUUAGCUAGUUGGUGUGGUAAGAGCGGACCAAGGCGACGAUCAGUAGCUGGUCUGAGAGGAUGAUCAGCCACACUGGGCCUGAGACACGGCCCAGACUCCUACGGGAGGCAGCAGUGGGGAAUUUUCCGCAAUGGGCGAAAGCCUGACGGAGCAAUACCGCGUGAGGGAGGAAGGCUCUUGGGUUGUAAACCUCUUUUCUCAAGGAAUAACACAAUGAAGGUACUUGAGGAAUAAGCAUCGGCUAACUCCGUGCCAGCCGCCGCGGUAAUAC
rnacentral:rRNA from 1 species